UGUAUUUGUAGCACUAGGCUUCUUUUAAUAAUUUAUAUUUGUAGUCAUGGAGCUGAAGUCCUUCUUUGGCCCUUCCCAAGAUAGACAACACGAUUGCAGAUAUGUGCCUUGAAGUAAGCCCUGCUUCUUGAAUCUGAUCUUGUGGGAAUCCAUGGUUAAUGUAUCUGUCAGGUAGCACCAUUGAUC